rnacentral:siRNA from 1 species
UCGUUCUCACCUGCAAUGUCU